AUUGAACGCUGGCGGCAGGCCUAACACAUGCAAGUCGAACGAGUGGCGGACGGGUGAGGAAUGUCUGGGAAACUGCCUGAUGGAGGGGGAUAACUACUGGAAACGGUAGCUAAUACCGCAUACCAUCAGAUGUGCCCAGAUGGGAUUAGCUAGUAGGUGGGGUAACGGCGCACCUAGGCGACGAUCCCUAGCUGGUCUGAGAGGAUGACCAGCCAAACUGGAACUGAGACACGGUCCAGACGCCUACGGGAGGCAGCAGUGGGUAAUAUUGCACAAUGGGCGCAAGCCUGAUGCAGCAAUGCCGCGUGUAUGAAGAAGGCCAUCGGGUUGUAAAGUACUUUCAGCGGGGAGGCGUUACCCGCAGAAGAAGCACCGGCUAACUCCGUGCCAGCAGCCGCGGUAAUUC
rnacentral:rRNA from 1 species